rnacentral:miRNA from 1 species
AUGGCCAAAAUGGCGAUUACU